GACGAACGCUGGCGGCGUGCUUAACACAUGCAAGUCGAACGGAAAGGCCCUGCUUUUGUGGGGUGCUCGAGUGGCGAACGGGUGAGUAACACGUGGGUAACCUGCCCUUGACUUUGGGAUAACUUCAGGAAACUGGGGCUAAUACCGGAUAGGAGCUCCUGCUGCAUGGUGGGGGUUGGAAAGUUUCGGCGGUUGGGGAUGGACUCGCGGCUUAUCAGCUUGUUGGUGGGGUAGUGGCUUACCAAGGCUUUGACGGGUAGCCGGCCUGAGAGGGUGACCGGCCACAUUGGGACUGAGAUACGGCCCAGACUCCUACGGGAGGCAGCAGUGGGGAAUAUUGCACAUUGGGCGGAAGCCUGAUGCAGCAACGCCGCGUGCGGGAUGACGGCCUUCGGGUUGUAAACCGCUUUCGCCUGUGACGAAGCGUGAGUGACGGUAAUGGGUAAAGAAGCACCGGCUAACUACGUG
rnacentral:rRNA from 1 species